UGAGUAACCUGCCCUUAACUCUGGGAUAAGCCUGGGAAACUGGGUCUAAUACCGGAUAUGGCUCCUCAUCGCAUGGUGGGGGUGGAAAGCUUUUUGUGGUUUUGGAUGGACUCGCGGCCUAUCAGCUUGUUGGUGAGGUAAUGGCUCACCAAGGCGACGACGGGUAGCCGGCCUGAGAGGGUGACCGGCCACACUGGGACUGAGACACGGCCCAGACUCCUACGGGAGGCAG
rnacentral:rRNA from 1 species